AGCGUACACGGUGGAUGCCCUGGCAGUCAGAGGCGAUGAAGGACGUGCUAAUCUGCGAUAAGCGUCGGUAAGGUGAUAUGAACCGUUAUAACCGGCGAUUUCCGAAUGGGGAAACCCAGUGUGAUUCGUCACACUAUCAUUAACUGAAUCCAUAGGUUAAUGAGGCGAACCGGGGGAACUGAAACAUCUAAGUACCCCGAGGAAAAGAAAUCAACCGAGAUUCCCCCAGUAGCGGCGAGCGAACGGGGAGCAGCCCAGAGCCUGAAUCAGUGUGUGUGUUAGUGGAAGCGUCUGGAAAGGCGCGCGAUACAGGGUGACAGCCCCGUACACAAAAAUGCACAUGCUGUGAGCUCGAUGAGUAGGGCGGGACACGUGGUAUCCUGUCUGAAUAUGGGGGGACCAUCCUCCAAGGCUAAAUACUCCUGACUGACCGAUAGUGAACCAGUACCGUGAGGGAAAGGCGAAAAGAACCCCGGCGAGGGGAGUGAAAAAGAACCUGAAACCGUGUACGUACAAGCAGUGGGAGCACGCUUCGGCGUGUGACUGCGUACCUUUUGUAUAAUGGGUCAGCGACUUAUAUUCUGUAGCAAGGUUAACCGAAUAGGGGAGCCGAAGGGAAACCGAGUCUUAACUGGGCGUUAAGUUGCAGGGUAUAGACCCGAAACCCGGUGAUCUAGCCAUGGGCAGGUUGAAGGUUGGGUAACACUAACUGGAGGACCGAACCGACUAAUGUUGAAAAAUUAGCGGAUGACUUGUGGCUGGGGGUGAAAGGCCAAUCAAACCGGGAGAUAGCUGGUUCUCCCCGAAAGCUAUUUAGGUAGCGCCUCGUGAAUUCAUCUCCGGGGGUAGAGCACUGUUUCGGCAAGGGGGUCAUCCCGACUUACCAACCCGAUGCAAACUGCGAAUACCGGAGAAUGUUAUCACGGGAGACACACGGCGGGUGCUAACGUCCGUCGUGAAGAGGGAAACAACCCAGACCGCCAGCUAAGGUCCCAAAGUCAUGGUUAAGUGGGAAACGAUGUGGGAAGGCCCAGACAGCCAGGAUGUUGGCUUAGAAGCAGCCAUCAUUUAAAGAAAGCGUAAUAGCUCACUGGUCGAGUCGGCCUGCGCGGAAGAUGUAACGGGGCUAAACCAUGCACCGAAGCUGCGGCAGCGACACUAUGUGUUGUUGGGUAGGGGAGCGUUCUGUAAGCCUGUGAAGGUGUGCUGUGAGGCAUGCUGGAGGUAUCAGAAGUGCGAAUGCUGACAUAAGUAACGAUAAAGCGGGUGAAAAGCCCGCUCGCCGGAAGACCAAGGGUUCCUGUCCAACGUUAAUCGGGGCAGGGUGAGUCGACCCCUAAGGCGAGGCCGAAAGGCGUAGUCGAUGGGAAACAGGUUAAUAUUCCUGUACUUGGUGUUACUGCGAAGGGGGGACGGAGAAGGCUAUGUUGGCCGGGCGACGGUUGUCCCGGUUUAAGCGUGUAGGCUGGUUUUCCAGGCAAAUCCGGAAAAUCAAGGCUGAGGCGUGAUGACGAGGCACUACGGUGCUGAAGCAACAAAUGCCCUGCUUCCAGGAAAAGCCUCUAAGCAUCAGGUAACAUCAAAUCGUACCCCAAACCGACACAGGUGGUCAGGUAGAGAAUACCAAGGCGCUUGAGAGAACUCGGGUGAAGGAACUAGGCAAAAUGGUGCCGUAACUUCGGGAGAAGGCACGCUGAUAUGUAGGUGAAGUCCCUCGCGGAUGGAGCUGAAAUCAGUCGAAGAUACCAGCUGGCUGCAACUGUUUAUUAAAAACACAGCACUGUGCAAACACGAAAGUGGACGUAUACGGUGUGACGCCUGCCCGGUGCCGGAAGGUUAAUUGAUGGGGUUAGCGGUAACGCGAAGCUCUUGAUCGAAGCCCCGGUAAACGGCGGCCGUAACUAUAACGGUCCUAAGGUAGCGAAAUUCCUUGUCGGGUAAGUUCCGACCUGCACGAAUGGCGUAAUGAUGGCCAGGCUGUCUCCACCCGAGACUCAGUGAAAUUGAACUCGCUGUGAAGAUGCAGUGUACCCGCGGCAAGACGGAAAGACCCCGUGAACCUUUACUAUAGCUUGACACUGAACAUUGAGCCUUGAUGUGUAGGAUAGGUGGGAGGCUUUGAAGUGUGGACGCCAGUCUGCAUGGAGCCGACCUUGAAAUACCACCCUUUAAUGUUUGAUGUUCUAACGUUGACCCGUAAUCCGGGUUGCGGACAGUGUCUGGUGGGUAGUUUGACUGGGGCGGUCUCCUCCUAAAGAGUAACGGAGGAGCACGAAGGUUGGCUAAUCCUGGUCGGACAUCAGGAGGUUAGUGCAAUGGCAUAAGCCAGCUUGACUGCGAGCGUGACGGCGCGAGCAGGUGCGAAAGCAGGUCAUAGUGAUCCGGUGGUUCUGAAUGGAAGGGCCA
rnacentral:rRNA from 1 species